CCCACAUACAUUCAGCACCCACAGACAUUCAGCACCCACACACAUACAGCACCCAUACACAGCACCCACAGACAUACAAAGCACCCACACACAUACAGCACCCACAGACAUACACAGCACCCACAGACAUACAGCACCCACACACAUACAGCACCCACACACACAUACAGCACCCUCACAAACAUACACAGCACCCUCACACACAGCACACAAACAGCACCCUCACACACACACAGCACACUAACAGUACCCUCACAAACACAAACAGGACCCUAACAAACACACACACAGCACACUACCAGUACCCUCACACACAAACAGCACCCUCACACACAGUACAUUAACAGCACCC